ACAGGUAGGAUAUAUAUUGACCCCAUACAGGUAGGAUAUAUAUUGACCCCAUACAGGUAGGAUUUAUAUUGACCCCAUAUAGGACCAGCUACACAGAGCACAGCCUUCAGCCAUACAGGUAGGAUAUAUAUUGACCCCAUACAGGUAGGAUAUUGACUCCAUACAGGUAGUAUAUAUUGACCCCAUACAGGUAGGAUAUAUAUUGACCCCAUACAGGUAUGAUAUAUAUUGACCCUAUACAGGUAUGAUAUAUAUUGACCCCAUACAGGUAGGAUAUAUAUUGACCCCAUACAGGUAGGAUAUAUAUUGACCCUAUACAGGUAGGAUAUAUAUUGACCCCAUACAGGUAGGAUAUAUAUUGACCCCAUACAGGUAUGAUAUAUAUUGACCCCAUACAGGUAGGAUUUAUAUUGACCCCAUAUAGGACCAGCUACACAGAGCACAGCCUUCAGCCAUACAGGUAGGAUAUAUAUUGACCCCAUACAGGUAGGAUAUUGACUCCAUACAGGUAGGAUAUAUAUUGACCCCAUACAGGUAGGAUAUAUAUUGACCCCAUAUAGGACCAGCUACACAGAGCACAGCCUUCAGCCAUACAGGUAGGAUAUAUAUUGACCCCAUACAGGUAGGAUAUUGACUCCAUACAGGUAGGAUAUAUAUUGACUCCAUACAGGUAGGAUAUAUAUUGACCCCAUACAGGUAUGAUAUAUAUUGACCCCAUACAGGUAGGAUAUAUAUUGACCCCAUACAGGUAGGAUAUAUAUUGACCCCAUACAGGUAGGAUUUAUAUUGACCCCAUACAGGUAGGAUAUAUAUUGACCCCAUACAGGUAGGAUUUAUAUUGACCCCAUAUAGGACCAGCUACACAGAGCACAGCCUUCAGCCAUACAGGUAUGAUAUAUAUUGACCCCAUACAGGUAGGAUAUAUAUUGACCCCAUACAGGUAGGAUAUAUAUUGACCCUGUACAGGUAGGAUAUAUAUUGACCCCAUACAGGUAGGAUAUAUAUUG